AUACGUAGGGUGCAAGCGUUGUUCGGAAUUAUUGGGUGUAAAGCGGAUGUAGGUGGCUUACUAAGCCAGAUGUGAAAGCCCGGGGCUUAACCCCGGACGUGCAUUUGGAACUGGUAAGCUAGAGUGUGUUAUGGGAGUGCGGAAUUCCUGGUGUAGCGGUGAAAUGCGUAGAUAUCAGGAGGAACAUUCGUGGCGAAGGCGGCGCUCUGGGCGACACUGACACUGAGAUCCGAAAGCAUGGGUAGCAAACAGGAUUAGAAACCCCUGUAGUCC
rnacentral:rRNA from 1 species